rnacentral:rRNA from 1 species
UACAGAGGUGGCAAGCGUUGUUCGGAAUUACUGGGCGUAAAGAGCUCGUAGGUGGUUUGUCGCGUUGUUCGUGAAAACUCACAGCUUAACUGUGGGCGUGCGGGCGAUACGGGCAGACUGGAGUACUGCAGGGGAGACUGGAAUUCCUGGUGUAGCGGUGGAAUGCGCAGAUAUCAGGAGGAACACCGGUGGCGAAGGCGGGUCUCUGGGCAGUAACUGACGCUGAGGAGCGAAAGCGUGGGGAGCGAACAGG